UAUUGAAGUCAAACAAUUUCUAUACAUUUUCUAGAAAUAUUUGUUAAAUGUACAUAUUCAUCCUUAUUUUCUGCAUGAAAAACAUCUUUCAAUAAUUUAUUUACCAGUUUAAUAUUUUGGGAUACCAUUGUCAAGGGGUACAAUCAAAAUCACGUGAUGGAUAUACACACACCGGAAGUAACAGUCGAGCAGACCGCUUGAAAGGUACUUUCUGUGGCAUGUUUUCAUGGUGUGGGAAUAAGACUUGGUGGUCAAAUACAGCUAAUAUGUAGGUUAGCACCACAGCUUGUCUGCAAGGAUUGAAGCUGGGAAACGGCCAUUGGAGCUGAAUUUUAUGGAAGCUGUGGCUGCAGCAAUGAUUAUGUGAUAAAACUGAAGAAUGUUAUUCAAAUUUUUUUUGUAUAUAUUUCAAAAAAUGUAAUUUUUUAUAAAAAAAAAAAAAAAAAAAAAAAGGUGUAAAGAUUCUUCAUUUUCAAUUAGAUUGGAAGCUUGUAUUUACAAUUGUUAGAUCUUCUUCGUUAUUCCCCCACCCCCUGUAUCUCUAUUUCAUUUUUACUUUGAAAAUGAAAUGGAACAGACAAAUUUUACUUGUCAACUUAAUAAUGGUCUGUCUAGUCAAAAGGCCUCCAGUUGGUUUAGAAUGGAGAAUCUAAAAAAAAAUAUGUAAAGUGUUUUUUUUUAGUUUCCUGAAUUUUUAUAUACAUUUUGUUAUUGCUCCCUUUCAAUUUUUAUAAAUUCCAGAUUUUAAGUUUUGGAUUUAUGGGGCUUUAUUCAUAAAAAAGGGGGAUUUUUCACACCUGGACAAUAACUCAAAAAGGCUUUCACCAAUGUCCAUGAAACUUUGGUGAAUUGUUUAUAUCUAUUGACAUAAGCUCCCUUUCCCUUUUUAUUAAUUUUAGAUUUUACGUUUUCUUAAGUAAUGAAUUUUUAUACUUAAAAAAGGGGGAUUUUAUGCAGUUUUGGUGAAACUUAAAAGAGCAACGGCCGUAUCAUGUGCUAAAGCGCAUCCCUUUAUUGAAAUGUGUUGUAGUUUUUACAUAUUAUUAUUUCUUUAUUUUAAUUAUACAAAUUUUGUAUUGUUAAAUAUUUAAAGGGUGUGGAGUCUCAACAGGGUGAAAUUUUCAGGACAAAAGGGAGGUAAUUCCUUUGUUAUACUCAUUAUACUUGAAAUUUCCUGAGUGUUUAUAUGGAAUAUAACUUUUUUAAUUAAAAUAUUCACUUUUGUACACAUUUUCUUUAAAUAUCAGAUGUAUACUUGCUAAAAUUACUUUUAUUAAGAGUUCUGUAAAUAAAAAAAAAUGUAAGCAGAGCUCUAGCUAUAGAUAAUAGAUUUGGAGGGUGGGAGAAAUUGUGGGUAACUACAAUUGAUUAGGUGAAAUUUCAAAAGACUUAAAAAGUGCAUCUGAUAUUUAUUUUUACAUAAUGUUAUUUCUGAAAGCAAAUGGACAAUAAGAUUAGGACAUAAACCACCUUCCAGGUUAGGAUAGCAGCUCUUAAGGAAGAUGGUCAAUUAAAUCUUCAACCCAGUCUGAGGCCUUACCAUGAAAAAUAUGUGGUUAGCAUCACAAGUUUCCUUUGGGUAACUUGCUUGAGGAGUAAAGAGAGCUGUUUAAGUUGAAAGUGUCGCCUUUGCUGCCUUGUGUGGUACAAUCUUCAGACAAUAUCCUGCAAACCGUGGCUGAACUGUUACUAUCUUUUUUUAGUAGAAUCCUUAGACAGUAAUCUUGUGGCAGAAUGAGUUGUAAACAAAUUGUUUUUAUUCCUGUAUUGAGUUUCAAAUUGGAUAUUUUUUUAUUUAUAUUAUUUGUAUUCCAUUUGCAUUCAAUUAUUGUUUUUUAAUUGAUGAAUCAUUAAAACUUAAAUUUUGUGGGGUCCUAAAGGACUUUCUUAGAGGGGGCCAGCGCAAUUGAUUAAACAAAAUUUUUCCUGCAACAGGGAGAGGAGACAUCCCCAUAAAUAUGCCUUUGAAAUGGGGUGUUAAAGAAGAUUUGUAUUGUUUGUUUGUUUGUCCAUCAUCAGCUCUCAUCCACAGCUUGGUAGAUUUUCAUUGAAACUUUCAGCUGAUUUUCUGUACUAAAGGCAGUAUGUUUUUU